UUUGUGCCAAUUAAACAUUUACAUAUAAGUAAUAGUUCUCUGAAUUAUUUAAGCAAUUUUGUUCUUAAUCCAAACAUGUAUAUGAUCUCUUAUUUUCAUAUUAGUAGGUAUUCUCAUAAAAUGGAAGAAUUGUUUAUUUCUUGGCUAGUUUUGUCUCCCAAAGAAAGAUGAUUGGAAAAAUAAUGAAUAUUUUUAAAGAGCAGUUUUCAGACAUUUCUGUUAGUAAUAGCAGACUUGUUGGAAGUUAUGGUUUUUGUUUGUUUGAUUUUGUUUAAACUGGUAUGACUUUUGUGUGUAAUUGUUUUAUUGCCAACAGUUUUGUAUGGUUUACUUCCACAUAGCUGACUUCUUUCCUAUGCUCUUUGAACAGAAAAGAGGCCCAGAAAUGUUUCUGCGGAUCAGCCAAUUGCCGGGGUUACCUGGGAGGAGAAAACAGAGUCAGCAUCAGAGCAGCAGGAGGGAAAAUGAAGAAGGAACGAUCUCGUAAGAAAGAUUCAGUGGAUGGAGAGCUAGAAGCUCUGAUGGAAAAUGGUGAGGGUCUCUCUGAUAAAAACCAGGUGC
rnacentral:sRNA from 1 species